rnacentral:rRNA from 1 species
CAAUAGCGUAUAUUUAAGUUGUUGCAGUUAAAAAGCUCGUAGUUGGAUUUCGGUUGAGAGCGGCCGGUCCGCCGUUUGGUGUGCACUGGCUGGUUUCAACUUCCUGUAGAGGACGCGCUCUGGCUUCACGGCUGGACGCGGAGUCUACGUGGUUACUUUGAAAAAAUUAGAGUGUUCAAAGCGGGCUUACGCUUGAAUAUUUCAGCAUGGAAUAACACUAUAGGACUCCUGUCCUAUUUCGUUGGUCUCGGGACGGGAGUAAUGAUUAAGAGGAACAGUUGGGGGCAUUCGUAUUUCAUUGUCAGAGGUGAAAUUCUUGGAUUUAUGAAAGACGAACUUCUGCGAAAGCAUUUGCCAAGGAUGUUUNCAUUAA